UGAGGAAUAUUGGUCAAUGGGCGAGAGCCUGAACCAGCCAAGUAGCGUGCAGGAUGACGGCCCUAUGGGUUGUAAACUGCUUUUAUGUGGGGAUAAAGUGCGUGACGUGUCAUGCAUUGCAGGUACCACAUGAAUAAGGACCGGCUAAUUCCGUGCCAGCAGCCGCGGUAAUACGGAAGGUCCGGGCGUUAUCCAGAUUUAUUGGGUUUAAAGGGAGCGUAGGCUGUCUAUUAAGCGUGUUGUGAAAUUUACCGGCUCAACCGGUGGCUUGCAGCGCGAACUGGUCGACUUGAGUAUGCAGGAAGUAGGCGGAAUUCAUGGUGUAGCGGUGAAAUGCUUAGAUAUCAUGACGAACUCCGAUUGCGCAGGCAGCUUACUGUAGCAUAACUGACGCUGAUGCUCGAAAGUGCGGGUAUCAAACAGG
rnacentral:rRNA from 1 species